rnacentral:lncRNA from 1 species
UCUGUGGCUGAUGGGAGGACCAGGGCUGAAGAAAGGAUGGAGGGAUGAAGGGCAGCCCUCCUGCUGCGGGUCGCCCUGCUGCUGCCCUGGGCCUGCAGCUCAUGGCACGUGGGUCUCUGGGAGUCCUUGUGGAUGUGUCUCUCCAGGGCCCUCCAUCCUCAGUGGGCAGGAGAAUCCCCUAGGGAGCUUGCUCUCAAAUUCUCAAUAGCAUACACACGGCUGCCACAAAUACACAGAAGUGCUGGGAAUUAGCUCUGUGAGACAGGCCUAUUUCAUAUAAGAAAAAUGAGGAUCAGAGAAGCUGAAAGUCUUGCUGAGGACACCCCAGCAAGGCGAAUUACAGGCCCAGAAUUCUAACGAGGGCAUCCGGACUCUGGGAUUAGAACCGCCUUCUGCGUCCCAGGAAAAACCUCCCCUAGUCAUGCCCAGAUCUGCCUGGUCUAAAAACCACAAAAAUAGCAGGAGUUUCCACUGAGUCAAUGCUUGUCA